rnacentral:sRNA from 1 species
UUAGGUCCACAAAUAU